CCCCCCCCCAAAUAAACAUUUAUUUGAUCUCCUUCCUACUUUCUCCUUGAGAGAAAAAAGGAAAACAAAACUGUUAUAAAAUUCCCACACUGGCCCCAUCUGUAAGAAUAUCUUACUUGGUACCUUGAGGAUACCAUCUACCCCUCUGUCAAGACAUGAGAAACAUGACCAGUCACUACAUCAUUCCUCUCUUUUUGGAGAUAAGCUAAAGGUUCCUAUUUUCUUUUAGCCACCCAGAAGAAAAAUGGUCUGAUUUCCUCCCUUGGAAUAAGGUAGAUGGAGAUGAAGGUAGGAGGUAGUAGGAAGAGAAAGAAAAAAGACAAAUGAGUGGAGCAUUUUUAAUGCGGGAGUGGGACAGGACUGGCUGAGCCAUGAAGCUGAUAGCAAAAAGGGCUCUUAUUCUCUUUCUUUGACCAUUGGGAAGUCCCAGUAGUGGAGCAAAUCUUUGGAGUGCUGUCCAGUGACUGUCCAGGAAAGUCCCUGUAAAUUCAUGGGGUCAGGCCCCAGCUUGGGGAGAGUGGAGAAGGGGAAGUGUGUGACCAAGAAGAGACUCCUUUCAGUCUCCAAAAGCUCCUUGCUGUAUGCCACAGGCUAGGAUGGAUGAAACAGCUGGCUCAUGGAUUUGCAUAUAAUUUGAUUAUAAUUUGAGUGUACCUCUACAGACCUGUACUCUUCAUUCUGAACAUCUAUCCUGAGGUGCUUUCCAAGGAUAAAUAGUAAGUUAUUUCUCCUUUCUCAACUUUUGUCUUAUUUCCCCUUGCAUUGAUCCAGAUCCUCUUGAAAAAUGAAUGUGAAAAGGGAGACCUGCCCAGUGAGACAGUCAAGGCCAGCUCUCUUAAAAAUUGUUAGAGUAGGGGGCAGCUGGGUAGCUUAGUGGACUGAGAGCCAGGCCUAGAGAUGGGAGGUCCUAGGUUCAAAUCUGACCUCAGACACCUCCCUGCUGUGUGACACUGGGCAAGUCACUUAACCCCCAUUGCCUAGCCCUUACCACUCUUCUGCCUUGAAACCAAUAUACAGUAUUGAUUCCAAGAUGGAAGGUAAGGGUUUUUUUAAAUUAAAAAAAAAUUGUAAGAGUGAAAAUAGUUCUCUCAUCCUGACCCAUUCUGUUUCCUUCCACCCACUAUUACCCUCCCCUCUGUCCUCAUCCCUCUCCCUUAUUCCCAGUUCACUCACACCAAGAAGUCAGUGGCUGGGAGUCUAAAAUGUGACUUAUUCCUGGGGUUGGAGUCCAAAGCAAAGGUUCUUAACCUUUAUCCAUGAAUUUAAGAUAAUUUUUUUGGAUACCAAUAUUUUAAUAUAACUGAUUUUCCUUUGUAAUCAUAUGUAUCUUAUUUUAUGCAUUUUAAAAUAUUGUUCAGAGAAAGGGGUCCUUAGUCUCUACCAGAUUGCUGCCAAUCAGAAUUCCAGGCAAGUUGGGAAAGAUGGAGAGAUGAGACAGGGUCCCUGAAAAUGCAGCCCAAAAAUGUAGGCUUGUUGGUUGACUGCUCUAGAACCAUGGAAAGAACCAAGGUCUCUCCGCAUCUCUCCUUGUUCCAAAGGGCUCUGCUGUUUAAUCCCCUUGGGAUUUCUUUCCAGUGAUCUUUGUAAGUUAACUCUAAGAGCUGGGCACCUGUCUCAAAGUGGCUCUACUGUAUUCAUUACACCAUCAUAAGUGAGGUUGCUUUGAAUGAUGACAGAUGAAAGACAGAUAAAUUCAGAUCAAUUGAAAUGAACAAUCUUGGCCCCAAAGAAAAGAAAGUGAAAAACAUUUUUCUUUCUGAUACAGAAGCAAGCAAGAGACUAUAAGCAUGGAGUGUUACAUAUGCUAUGAAAUGUGUUUGAUUAUUUGUUUGUAUUACUUAUUCAUUGUUACAAGAUAAGAUACAUGGAAAUUAGGUAAAUUGGGAAAUGGCUAUAAUGUUUUUAAAAGGAAGGAGAGAGAAAAACAGAAGAAAAAAGAGAAAAAGAAGAAAGGAAGGGAAUGAGAGAAAGAAGAAGGGAAGGGAAGAGAGAGAAGGAGAGAGGGGAGAGAGAGAGGAAUGGAGAGGGAGAGGGAGUUGAGGAAAGAAAGAAAAAGAAGGAAGGAAGGAAGAAAAAAGGAAGGAAAGAAGAAAAAGAGAGGAGGGGGAGAGAGAGGGGGGAGAGAAAGAAAGAAGAAGGAAGGCAGGAAAGAAGGAAGAGAAAGAACACUGUAGCUUAGGGCAAGGUACUUUUACUGACUUAGAUCUCAGUUUUCUUAUCUGGAAACAGGUGAUCUCUAGGGUCCCUUCCCAGACAGGCUGUGUCCAGGGAUGAUUCGGGCUAUGAUAUACUGAUGGAGAACUAAUUCUACAAGCCUUAGGACUACUCAGCUUCUAGGGCACCCAAUAGUGUAGCCCAAUGACUGCUGGAGACAAUAGCAAUGAUAAUAAACCAUCAUCCCUCCCUCACAGUCUUUUUCUGUGUGUGUUCAGACUAGUGAUUUCACUGCCCUAGGGAGAGAUAGUAGAAUAAGGAAGCUCCUUCUGCCAAUGCAGACUGGCACUGGUUCUGAGGUAUUGAGAAAGUAAGUGACUUGCCCAGGGUCAAUUAGCUAGUAUGUGUCAGAGGUGAGACUUAAACUUGUGUCUUCCAAAUUGGAGGCAGCUCUCUCUCUCCACUUCUCUAAAAUGCUUCUGACCUCAUAAAGUACUUUCUGCUCCUCAAAGCUAUCCUACUCAGUUCUCUCAUUUGAUCCUCUCAAUGGCCCUGAGGUAAGCAGGGCAGGGUUUUCUGAACCCCAGUGUGGUGCAAAGAGUACAGGAAUUGGAAUCAGAGCUCUUGCCUUGAAUCCUGGCUCUGCUGAAUACUACUUAUGUGGCCUUAGACAAAAGAGUAAUUUCUUCUCUCAGGUUCUCAUUUUCCUCAUCUGUAAAAUGAGAGCAUUGAAUGACUAAGGUCCUAUGCAGCUCUAAAACCACGAUCCUGUAGCAUGUGAGCUCCUUGAGGUCCCGUACCCUUUCUGGGUUUCUCUUUUUAUCCCCCAAAUCUAGCACUGUACCUGGUACAGGAUAUGCCCUUAAUACAUACUUGCUGAGUGAAUGAGUGGGUAAAUAAAUGAUUUGCACAAACUGGACUAGUACUGAAUAUAUAGGAGGCUCUUAAUACAUACUUACUGAAUGAAUGAAUAUUUGACCAAAGACUCUAUUUUGAUCCAAUUUUUAUAGAAAACCUGAGCGAUCCACUGAUUUGCCCAAGAUCAUACAUGCUAGUGAAUGACAGAACCAAAAUUUGAACCCAGGUUGCUAAAUUUCCUGAUAGGCAGGAAAGCUAAUAUGAUCUUAAGUGGGUCUUGAGAAGAUGCACAGUGUCAAGAAUUAGGGAGAUCUGCAAAUACCAACAACAUGGAAAUCAUGGAUUUGGAUCAAGGUUUGGAUCAAGGACACACGUGAUACCCAGUGGAAUCGCAUGUCAGCUAUGGGAGGGGUGGCGGGAGGGGAGGGAGAAAAAGAAAAUGAUUUUUGUAUCCAAGAAAUAAUGUUUGAAAUUGACCAAAUAAAAAUAAUGUUUUUAAAAAAAGAAUUAGGGAGAGCCCACAAAAUUCUGUUCUGUUCAUACCACAUCUGGACUGGGUGCUGUAUUUUAGAAGGAUAUAGACAAGAGAAAGAACAGCAUUUAAAAGAGAGCAAGCAAGAUGGAGAGAAGAGUGGAGACCAGACUAUACCUGUUUUAGUUGAAAGAACUAGGAAUAUUUAGGCUAGAAAACAGAUGACUUGGGGAGAAUGUGAUGGUUGACUUCAAAUACAUUCAAAAUGGAAUGGCUGUAUAGUAAAACCAAUCAAUGAAUCAACAAGCAUUUAUUAAGUGCCUACUAUAUGCCCCUUGCAUAGUACGGAAAGUUAGGUGGCACAGUGGUAUAAGAAAAUACUCUUUCUUACAGAUAUUAUACCAGAGUUAAAGGGGGGAAAGACACAGUAUAAUAUCUGUAAGAAAGAGUAUUUUCUUACAGUGGAUAGGGCACCAGACCUAGAGUCAAGAAGACCUGAGUUCAACUGUAGCCUUAGACUCUAGCUGAAUAACCCUAAGCAAGUCACAUAACCCUGUUUACCUCAGUUCCCUCAUUUGUAAAAUGAGCUGGAAAAGGAAAUGGCAAACCACUAUGAUAUCUUUGCCAAGAAAACCCCAAAUGGGGUCACAAAGAGUUAGAUGUGACUGAAAAAGCAACUGAAACUGAACUGAAUGUGCCAAGCACUAUAUAAAGUAUGAAGUGCUAAGGCUACCAGAAAAGGCAAAAAAAUCGUCUCUGCCCUCAGGAAGUUUACAUCUAACGGCAGAGACAACAGGUAAAUAAUAGGGAUGCACAGGAUAUUUACAGAUUAGAUGACAUACAGCUUUAGAGGGGAAAGGAAGAAUUAGACUUGUUCAGGUUGGUCCCAUAGGGCAGAAUUAGGAAGAAGUUGGAAAGAGGGAGGCUUUAGACUCAUAUAAAGUUGUGUCCAGUAGAAUGAACUACCUGGGGAGGUGGAGGGUCCUAUUCUCCAGCCCUCAUUGGGAAUGGCAUAGAGGGGAUUCUUUUUCAGGUAUGGGAUAGCCUCGGAUUCUAUGAUUCUAGACAGACACAGAGAGAGCUCAGGUACCCGUGGAUUGCUCAAAGCCCUUUAACCAUGGGCAAUUUCCCAGCACCCACCAUCUUUAGCCUAAAGCUAUCUUUGAAGAGCAGACCCUAUUCUUGUAGGAUCCUGCUCCCCCUGGCCCUCAUCCAAACCCUGCUACCUUCCUCCCUGGCCCCCUAGACACACACACACACACACAUACACAUUUCCUGGAGUGGCCUCAGAGAUCCCCUGGCAGUUGGUUCCCUUAUCCUCAGCUUCCUGUUUGGGUUUCAUCGAGGUUUGGCCGUUUCAACAGCUGAACGGAGGGAGGUUGUAAGAGAGAGGAGGCUGGGAGGAUCCUCUAAAGUGAUCUGGGAAAGCACUGAAUACCCCUAGAAUGACUGAGAAAUCCUCAGCUCCUUAGGCUGCGAAGCAUCUUGAGAGAUGAUCUAGUCCAUUGUUGCUCAGGGCCAGAUCACUCCUUAGCCACUCUGAAGAGAAGAUCACAUGUUUAGCCCAGGGACGGUGAGAUCAUCACAAAGGGAAGAAAACCGGUUCUAUCUCCUCAUCUCCCCAUGACUUCCCUCAAGCUAGUCCAGUCCAAUCUCCUCCAUAUCUGUUCUCUCCUCCCUUGCUAUGGGUCAGGUCCAUUCUUGCUUCCAGGCCCAUGCUCAGGGUGUUGCCCUGCCUGGAAUGCCCUUGUCAACUCUUCCAAAUCCUUCAAGGUCUGAUUGAAGCCCCACCUCCUUGGUGGCAUCAGCUGCCAGGUCUCUCCUAUCUUCUUCCUGGGAUUCUUACAAAGGGACCUGGAGCGCUGACGGUAAUCCUUCUCCAGCUCUUUCCCAGGUGUAGGUCUUUUCCCAGAACUAGGCUGGAAGCUCUGCUGGGGAGAGGGGAGAGCAGGCUCAGUGGCAGAACAAAAUCAAAUAUAUAUCAAGAAAUACUGACUGAUGAUUGGGAAUUUCCUUUGCAAUCAGAGAUCUAGAGGAGCCCCAGGCUUUUUUUUUUUUUUCAGGAACUCAUUGUGUCUUCUUUCUCCCAUCCCAGGUAUUCUUUCCAAAUGGCUAUGUAGUCAAAUUCCCUGAAGAGGAAGUUGACAGUCUGUACAGAGUCCCAGCUCUUGCAGGUUCUCUUUACCACUGAGAAGGAACGGAUUUUCCUGGAAGCCAGGCCAGGAAGAAUGUUCCUGGAAUCGAUGGCAGACCCACGAACCAGCCCAACCGCAUUGAUGACACGUUCCCCCUGAACCUCCCCAAUUGGGAUUUUGAACAACCUGAAGGUAGCUGGAAUUGGACCUUGGAUCCAUCAUUCUCACAUCUGUCCUGCUGCUCCGCCCUUGCCGUCCAUCAGAAAGAGGUGGAAAGUAACCCGGCACCUGACUGACCCACUUAAUGUGUGCAUCACUAAGGACAGUGAUGAAUAAUGCCUCUGCGUACCCUGGUUAUCGUGUUGGGUCUGACCCAGACCGGCCUUUUGUAUCAACCCCAUGGAAGAUGGUUUCAGAACCACCUUCAACCAUGGAAAUGGACGCUGUUCAGCUGGAAUUCUUCAUCCAUCCUCUCCACCCAGACUACAUCAGGAACCCCCUCCCUAAUUGCCCACGCCUGCGACCUGAUAUGGGGACCCCAAGCCCAACGAGAUCCUGGUACACCCUGUAGGAAUGUUGGGAUCUUCUAUUUUUGCCCCGCCUCUAACCCAGGCAAAUCCAAUUGUAAUUACCCCAACUCCUAUUUCUGUGCCUACUGGGGCUGCGAGACGCUUGUCACUGGGGGAAGCAGGAUCGAGGGAUGUUCCCGGUGGAAUCCAGCCACCAGUGACCCAUGGCUAACUGUGAGCUGGGGCCCCCCAGGAUGCAAGCACCAAUGUUACAUAGAUGAUCAAGGGGGGACCCCCUGUGAGUACAUGAUUUUUAAGCCACAACAACCUGAAGACCACACUUGGCUCCUUGGAAGAACCUGGGGCAUACGGCUGUAUCGAGAUGGAGUUGACCCAGGGGGACUGUUCAUCAUUAAGAAGGAACCGCCACCACCCCCCCAUUCCGCUAUAGACCCCAAAGCGAUUUUGAACACCCCACAAAUCCCUGCCAACCCCAGCAAACCCACCCUGCCCACACAAAAUCCCAGGUCCUCAGCAGAUGCAUCCCCACUACCCACGGCUACACCUGACCCCCUUGACCCCAUCCUCGAACCCUGAGAACCACACCCCUUGUGGUCCCUCUUGCAAGCUUCAUAUUCUUCCUUAAAUCAGACCACACCUAAUCUCACUAACUUGUGCUGGUGCUGCCUUGGCACCCAGCCCCCCUACUAUGAUGCUAUCACCUUGAAUUCAAGUUUUAAUGCCUCUCAGCAGAAGUUGCCACCCGAGGGUGAUUGGAAGGAAAGGAAAUCGGGCCGGACCAUGCAGUCUGUUCUAGGUGCUAGUCACUGCGUAGGGAAUAUCUCCCACCCUCAGUCUCACAUUUGUGCCCAACACUCUACCCCGGCGACCGGUAAAUUCCUUAUCCCUCCCACCGGAACCCGGUGGUUAUGCACAACUACCGGCCUAACUCCUUGUAUCACCCUCACCACCUUACAACCCACACAUGAGAUGUGCCUCCUUACCAUUGUGCCCUGCCUCCUCUAUCACGCCGCGGAUGAUGUCCUUAGAUUUUGGGAACCCCGGUCAGGUCCUCCUGCUAGAACACGAAGGGAACCAGUAACUGCCAUCACCCUCGCCACCAUCUUUGGCCUCUCCAGGGUAGGGACGGGUGUUGCCUCUCACUCUACGCCAUCAGCCUCUCGACACUUACAGCAGCAGUAGACGAGGAUCUCGCUAGCACUGAGGCUUCUAUCACCCACCUUGGAAAAGUCCCUUAUUUCCCUGUCAGAGGUAGCAUUCCGAAACAGAUGAGGAUUAGACCUCCUAUUUCUGCAGCAAGGAGGCCUCUGUGCGGCCUUAAAGGAGUAAUGUUGCUUUUACACUGACCAUACGUGGCUAGUUAAGGACUCUAUGUCCAGACUCCAAGAAGGCCUCGCCAGACGCCAAAAGGAGCAGGAGUUGCAAGAAUCAAGCAACUCUUUCACCACUCUCCCUGGCUGACAACCCUCAUAUCUAUGCUAUUAGGUCCCCUGAUCCUCCUCUUCUCCUUUUAACCUUUUGUCCAUUCAUUCGUAAUCACCUAGUAGCCUUUGUCAAGGAUCACAUCAAUACCAUCCAGUUAAUGGUCCUUCACCAGCAUUACCAAACCGUGACUCCUACCAAAUUCCCUUAUGAGGAUACGGUCGCAUGAGGAAGAUUCCUCACGUACAGCAGAAGAAGUGGGGAACGAAGAACCAGCUCCUGAACCUGUAUACCCUUUCCCUGUCCCCCUCCCCCCUAGAUCGCCUGCACACAAGUUACCACACCCUGAAAUAUACCAGGAACUGAUAACAAUCCCAACUACAGAAGUUCCUGUUCACUCCAGCGUAUAAAAGACCUUCGAGCCCCAGAGUCGGGGCUUGAGCCAUUUUAGAGUGACGAGCCCAAGCUGCAGUUUGUUUAAUAAACUCCCUCUUGUGCUUUACAUUGUUGGUCUUUACUUCAUCCUUGUGAUUGAUUCAUCAGGCGCUUCAAUAUAAUCAAUAUUAUAUAGAAGUAUAAUAUUUAAUAAAUAUCAAUAUUAUAGAGAAAUAAUAUAUAACAAGUGUAUACAUACAACAUAUAAUCAAUAUUAUAUAGAAAUAUAAUAUAUAAUAAAAAUUAAAAAUAGACAAGAGUGAGAUAACACAGUGUUUGGUUUUAAACCUACCAGU